AUGACAAACUGUGCUCUCCAUUGUAGGACAAAGCCAAGAUGAAACUCCCCCUACUUCUGGCUCUUCUAUUUGGGGCAGUUUCUGCUCUUCAUCUGAGUAAGUGUUCUUUGCCUUCCGUCUUUGCUCCUCUAUUUUGUUCCUUUCUAUAGUAGACGGGGUCAGAGUCACAUACCCGCCCCCUUCUCUGAUCAUCCCCUAUUUCAGAAUCUCUGAACAUUUGAAAGGAUACGGACCCUAUGGCCAGGAGUUGAAAGGACUCCUCGGGGCAGCUGUUAUGUCUGCGGUCUUGGUUCUACUGUGACAUUCCCAAUUUUGUCCUUUCUACACGAUGCUAAUGAUGGUCACAAUAACAAUAGCUUCAUUUCCCUUUGAGCUUACUGACUGCACGGCACUAAGCAUUUUCUGUGCAUCAUCUCCUUUAACCCUUGUGGCAUUCCUGUGAGGUUGGUAGUGUUGCGUACCCAUUUCACCAACAAAGAAAUGAAGCUAGUAACUGAAGCAACCCUGCUCUUCACCAUUUUUAUCUUGUGGGGGAGGUUGGGUGCUGCUGUUGGAGACUUUGUUCCAGGCUCCUCUUUCCAGGUGGUGUUGAGCCCUCUGGUGCCCAGAGCAAGGCGGGAGCUGUCCGUGGUUUGGGGAAGAGCAGCGGAAGAUGUGGACAUGUGAAGGAAGGACAUGUGGCCUUUCUUCCUGCCAGGGGCUAAAACUUCCAACUUUGAGAGCACCUUGGAAGCUAAGACCCUGCCCCAGGUCGGGAGAUACCAGAACAGGGGGCCGAGGAGGCCCCUCCUGGGGAGAUGGCACUGUUGGAGAAGGAGGAGGGGGGGCAGUGAAGACUCCCUGGAAGGAGAGGGGCUGUUGAGUCGGCCUCUGCCCUGGACAAGGACCUUCAGUGUCCUAAGGAAGAGAAUGCAGUAAAACCCUGGGUGCAAAACCUGCCACUUGCUUGUGGUGACGGCUGCCAGGAAUUUAAAUUGUGCUCAGUUAACUUGUCAGAGGUGCUACUGAGGCAACCUGGCCUCCAUCCAAGCUUCAGCUUUAAUUUACGAAUCCAGUGCACCACCCGCUCUUUCAACCAGGGCCAAGUCUGGAUUGGAGGCGUGGCCACAGGCUGGGUAAGUGCUAAGUGGGGGCCACCUCGUGAUCCCAGAAAGUGCUGAACUUGCUGCAGAUGUGCGUGUGUUUCUCCUCUGUGAUCCCCUGCAGGAUUGGGGACAGGUGGACACCUGGGAGAGACACUGAUGGGGCUGCAAAGCGUUGGGAAGAGCCCGGGUUUUAGAAUCAGGAGGUUUGAUUCUAGUUCCUCUCUGCCUCUGACUACGCAACUUGGGCAAGACCAUGGGCCUGUUCCCUCAUAUCUAGGAUGGGUUGGCAGCCCCUGCCCUACCUCUUGUUGGGGCUAGAAGGAUAAGCAUGUCCGAGUGGGAUGCACAGAACGUGAUGGGGAUGAUCGCUGUGGAUCAAUAUUUCAGACAACCAGGACAGGGUCCAUCACGGUCCAGGAAGCAAGGGCCCCUGGAGGAGCUGGCGGGGACAGGGCCAGCUCUUCCUCUCUGCCUUCCCUUUGCCCCUUCCCCAGCCCCCCUCUGCCUUCCCCAGGCCCUGCACACGUUUGCACUGGGUUGACCGCAGCUGCUGGAACUUUGCACGCUGGGCUCUCGGCCAGCCCUCGGUCUUCAGUGGCAGAUGUGUUUCCAUGUAUACUGGAGGAGGCCAGUGGAGUCUAUCUAACUGCAACGUGUGUCUGUUCCUACUGAGCUGGUUCCUGCUGGGAGUACAGGGCUGCUUCCUCCUGGGCAGCCGCCUCCCUUCCCCUGCCUGCUGCCCCUCCCUCCA